rnacentral:rRNA from 1 species
CGUGGGGAACCUGCCCAUAAGAGGGGGAUAACAUCAGGAAACGGGKGCUAAUACCGCAUAGGUGAUCAUAGCGCAUGCUUAGAUCAUUAAAGAUGGCUUCGGCUAUCGCUUAUGSWUGGCCCCGCGGCGUAUUAGCUAGUUGGUGAGGUAAUGGCUCACCAAGGCUGUGAUACGUAGCCGACCUGAGAGGGUGAUCGGCCACACUGGAACUGAGACACGGUCCAGACUCCUACGGGAGGCAGCAGUAGGGAAUCUUCCACAAUGGGCGAAAGCCUGAUGGAGCAAUACCGCGUGAGUGAAGAAGGUCUUCGGAUCGUAAAGCUCUGUUGUUAGAGAAGAACAAGAGGUGUAKUAACUGGCACCUCCUUGACGGUAUCUAACCAGAAAGUCACGGCUAACUACGUGCCAGCAGCCGCGGUAAUACGUAGGUGACAAGCGUUGUCCGGAUUUAUUGGGCGUAAAGCGAGCGCAGGCGGUCUUUUAAGUCUGAUGUGAAAGCCCACGGCUCAACCGUGGAGGGUCAUUGGAAACUGGAAGACUUGAAUGCAGAAGAGGAAAGUGGAAUUCCAUGUGUAGCGGUGAAAUGCGUAGAUAUAUGGAGGAACACCAGUGGCGAAGGCGACUUUCUGGUCUGUAAUUGACGCUGAGGCUCGAAAGCGUGGGGAGCGAACAGGAUUAGAUACCCUGGUAGUCCACGCCGUAAACGAUGAGUGCUAAGUGUUGGAGGGUUUCCGCCCUUCAGUGCUGGAGCUAACGCAUUAAGCACUCCGCCUGGGGAGUACGGCCGCAAGGCUG